AAUGGCUAUGCUCUAGAUCCGUUCGGUAAUAUCCGGACAAAUACAAAGAAUAAAACAAAGUAGUACGUAUAAUCAUAUUUUGGGGCCUCAUAUAAGCACCAAACACACCUUUAUAUUAUUUUUCUAGCAAGUCCAUAGCUUGAUGCCAGCAAGCACAAUCUCCUAACAAGCACUGCGCAAACAAGAAGACACCCAUUUGAAAACUCAACAUGAGUCAAAUUACAAAGCGAAAGAUACUGUAGUAUCAUUCUCAUAAUAUCACGGGGAACUUACCAGAGUCUGCUUGCCAAUUCUCAUAAUGUCAC
rnacentral:lncRNA from 1 species